rnacentral:rRNA from 1 species
UAACAAGGUUUCCGUAGGUGAACCUGCGGAAGGAUCAUUAUCGAGUCUUGAAACGGGUUGUAGCUGGCCUUCUGAGGCAUGUGCACACCCUGCUCAUCCACUCUACACAUACACACCUGUGCAUUUGAUGUAGGCUUUUGGAGGUGGUGCAGGCUUUUUUGCCUGCUGAAGCUUCUGGGGGCUUAUGUUUUUUUUACACACUUGCCACACCCUUUGGUAUGGGAACGUUUGUUGCGAUGUUAAUGCAUUUAUAUACAACUUUCAGCAACGGAUCUCUUGGCUCUCGCAUCGAUGAAGAACGCAGCGAAAUGCGAUAAGUAAUGUGAAUUGCAGAAUUCAGUGAAUCAUCGAAUCUUUGAACGCACCUUGCGCUCCUUGGUAUUCUGAGGAGCAUGCCUGUUUGAGUGUCAUAAAAUUCUCAACCCAUGAGCCCUUGUGGGCUUAUUGUCGGUGUUGGUCUUUGGAGGCUUUUUUGUCGGCUCACCCAUUGUCGGCUCCUCUUAAAUGCAUUAGCUUGGUUCUCUACAGAUCGGCUUCCGGUGUGAUAGUCAUGUUUACACUGUUGACCGUAAAGUGUGUGUCUGGGCCAGCUUCUAAUUUGUGGUCUCCUUGGAGAUGGCUUUUCUUGACCUCUGACCUCAAAUCAGGUAGGACUACCCGCUGAACUUAAGCAUAUCAAUA